rnacentral:lncRNA from 1 species
AUACCAGCUAUACACCUGCCGGAGGCACCCCACCUAUCUACAUACUGGAUACCAGUUAUAGACAGGCCGAAAGUGUAAACACGUGAAGGAUGAACAAUCUUUGGUUGUGUAAGGUGAGCUCUUGCAAUAAUCACCACCAUCCCAAAUUCAAUACAGUCUUUACAGAUCACCAAAAAUAUCAAUAAACUCGUUCUCAACAGAUCCAACACGAAAUAAACCCAAUCAUAACUAAACAAAAACAUAACAAAACACUCUAAAAUGAGAGACAAAACACACACUCCAAGAGAAGAGACACACAAACACCCAAAAGAUUGGGUUUUAUUGAGAGGAAAUUAACGAGAGUAAAAGAUAAUGAAGGAGUUGGGGCUUUCCACCGGAGAAAAUCAGUUAAAGCCCAUCGAUUUACUUGAAAAUGGACAACCCUAAUAGAUGAGACAAGGGAGGCGGCUGCUGGACUUGAUGAGCUCGUGCAUUUUCGUGCCAUGUGUUUUCGUGUUUCGUGUAUUCGAAAGUGGAAUCCAUACCUUACCCGGUUUGGAUUUGUGUUGCUAAUCUAAAACCUAUAUCUGUUUCGAAACGUGUCGUGUACUUUUUGUGUACUUAUAAUAUAGAUAUAAUAACAAAAAAUAAUUAAAAUAUAAUUUAAAAAUACUUUUUUAUGUAUAAUUUUAGGAAAUAUAAAUUAAAUCUUUAUAUUUGUAUAUAGUUGUGUACAAAUUUGUACAUAAAUAUGUAUUUUAUAUAUGUAAAUAUAUAUAUAUAUUUACAUGAAAAUAUACUUAUUUAUUUAAAAAUAUUUUUAUAUCAUUUACAUUCGUGUAUAUAAAAUGAAAAUCCAUAUCAAACACUAAAUUUACCGUGUAUUUUCGUGGCCGUGUACCAAAAAUCAAAACUCAAACGUUAACUUUCUGUGUCGUGUAUCAAAUUGUCAAGUCUAGUACUUUGCUUUCUUUGUUCUCCUUUUUACCUAUGUAGCCUUUAUAACAUCUAAUUCCAUAAGUAUUUUAUAUUUUUAAAACAUUAAUAUAAAAUAUUGAAUUUUAAUAAUUUAAGAUAUUAAUAGAUAUUCACAUCUUCAACAAUAUUCCCUAUAUUAAUUUCUUAUAUAAUAUUUAUCAUUAAAAGAUAUCAUUAUCAUAAAAGUGAAGAGAGAAAGUGUGUGUUUUGAUAUAAAUAAUAAAAUAAGAGUUAGAGUAAUUUAAAUAGUUUAGCUAUUUGGAGUCUUAAACUGAAAUAUAGGAAAUGUGGGGAAAAAACUACUCGAACAAUAUUUUAGCGGAUCCUUAAUCACUAAGAUCUUCUUUUCAUUCAUUAUCAUUAACUAACAUCUCUCCUUAGAAGACUCUUAGGAGUACAAGGACUAUAUAUUGGUGAAGCUGUAUGAAACCUUGAAAACAUAUGAACUUGUGAUGGAGCAAGAUGAAGAAAUUGAAAAGGGCUAAAAGAAGAAAAAAAAAUUGUGACCUUGGUAGCAGUAAAUGAACUGAAAGCUGAAGAGGAAAAUGCAAAUGCAAAAGCGAAUGAAACAUUUGUCAAGGAUGUCAAAGAAGGAAGCUAUGAAACAAGCAAGGGAAAGAGCAAGAUGAUUGAAGAGAUUGAUUCAGGUGAUGAUGACAUGGAUGAAAUUGAUGAACAUAUGGCAUUUAUGUCAAGAAGGUUCUCAAAUUCAAGAAGAAUCCUGAUGCAGCUGAGUCAUUGUUUUGCACAGAGAGAGAAGAGAGCUUUGAGAAUUCGAAAGAGCAAGAUGAUUGAAGAGAUUGAUUCAGGUGAUGAUGACAUGGAUGAAAUUGAUGAACAUAUGGCAUUUAUGUCAAGAAGGUUCUCAAAUUCAAGAAGAAUCCUGAUGCAGCUGAGUCAUUCAUAAAGGAUUUCAAUACUGAUAAGAUGGUUGAUAGGUCCAGUUUAAAUGCUCAACUGUGGAGUAGCUGGACAUUUCUUGAAUGAAUGCAGAAAUUCUAAAGUUGAGUGGAAACAAUCUGAUAGUAUAUAUGGACUAUAAAAAGAAGUAUUUUGACCUUCUUAAACAAAAGGAAAGAACAUUCAUCACAAAGGAGGAGGACUGAGUUGAGGAUAAUUUUGAUGAUGGAAUUGGACAUGUCGAUCUUGCUCCUAUGACCAAAUCAGAUUAACAGGAAGAUAGUACAGCAAGCAGUCAGGUAUAUACUACAAACUUGACUGAUUUGACAAAAGAAGAAUGCAAUAGAACUAUUGAUGAGAUGUCUAUUGAACUAUAUCAUUUGCAUAUUACAUAACAAUCACUAACUAAGAAAAACUUUAGAAUUAAAGAUGUUAAUACCUUUUUCAGUGAUGAAAACAAUAUCUUAGAGUCUCAAUUCAUUAAAUUUUAAAGAAUGAAGGUAGAAUGUCAAACUAUAAAAGAUGAUCUUUCUUCGUGUCUUAAAAAGAGAAUUUUUUUUUUUAAAGAAACGGUUAGAGAAUGAAUAAGAGAUCAUAGCAAGGUUAAAAUAUGAUAAGAUGUUGCUACCAACAUUAUUCAGGUUCAGGGUUUGGAAAUCUUUGUUGAGAAUGCGUGAAAAAGAGACGAGAAGAAAAUUGAAGUUUUCCAUACUAGCUAGCUCAACAGAUGAAUCAACGGAUAAUGAUAAUUUGUUGAAAGCUGCACACUCAAUGGAUGGAAAUUACGCUUUGAAGAAUAAUCAUCAGUUGACAAGAAUACUCUUAACAAUCUCAAUAAGAAAUAUGGUUCCGUUGACAAAAUUUUUGUAAAGAAAGAUUGCAGCAAUCUUAAGAUUGUUGAAAGAACAAACAUAGGUGAUUCUGUUUGAAAAGAAAUUGAAGUAGAGACUUGAACAGAUUGAUGUUAAGGCUGAGGAUAAGAGAAAAAAACAACAAAAUUAAAAAGGUAGACAUUAACAUCAGAUUUCUAUGCUCCUAGAAAAAUAUGUGGUAGAUGUGGUGUGUUAAUCAUCUCUCUCAAUUGCAAAACUAUCCAAAUGCCAUCUUUUUCUAUUAUUAUGCAUAUGCUUAUUAUGCCUAUAUGUGGUUUGAAUGUGAUGCCAAAUAUAUUUGCUCAAACUUCGUAUCAGCAUGCUAAUGCACCAUUUAGUUUCAAUUCAUAUUUGAAUGUAUUUAACAGUUCUUCAAAGAAAGCUGAAAGCAGUUUUUUUCAAAAAGUAUGGAGAACAUAUUUUCCUUAAAAAUAACUUUUUAAGGUAAAAAUUAUUAUUCGGAAAAAAUUAUUAUUAACAGACAAUUUUUUAGCAUAAAGUUAUUAUUACUGUUUGCUAACACAGUAACCAUCGGAACCUUAUCUACUCUCUUCGUUCCCCUGAGUAGUAUAUAGUGGUACAGAGACGCGACACAUACUUUAAUAUUCUUGUAGAGUAUAGUUCUGCAAUUUAUUUUUAAAAUCUUUUUAUGAAAUAUAAAUUUACAUGUUAGAUUUUUAUUCAAUUUUUUUAAAAAAUAAAUUAGAAAAUUAGAAAAAGAGUAUGAACUCUUUUUUUUUUAUCAAAAGAGUAUGAACUCUUCUUCUUUUCUUUUUUUCCCGUCGUUUACAGAGGAGUACUAUGAAUUGAAAGUCCGUUAUCGACUAUUCUAGAAUUCUAGUAUACAAGUUGGACCACUAAAAGUGCCCCACUUGCAAGGGACCCACUAUUUGACGUACAGGCUUUAUUUUAUGCGAAAUUUCGACCUUGCGUUAAGUCCAAACACCAAAACAAUUCGAAUCAAACUUUUGCUUUUAAUUACUCAAUAUACACGAAAGAACUUUUGAAAACGCUUUUCAACAAUAUCAAUCCUGCUGUAAAUACCAUCAUAAUUAGUGUUGGCUACACGUAUCUUUGAUUAGUUGUUAAUAUUGCAUAAUGAAUAUCACAAAGAUUCAUAUUAUUUUUAGAUUGUAUAUAUUGUUAAACAAAUCAAACACUGUUAUUAUUAAUAUUAAAAACUUAGUUAGUUUAAAAUUAUAAUUUAAAUCAAAAUUUAAAUAAUAUUGUAUAUUCAAUUGUGUAAUGUGCUACUUUAUUCUUUAUCAAUGUUCCUUUUUGCGCGUUGAUUUAUUAUUGUUUAUAUAUAUAACAUAUUUUUGAAUUAUUAAUUUAUUUAUUUUGGAAAUAAAAAGUAUUUGAGUAUCAUAUUUAAGUAAUACUAAUUACAGACUAGUAAAAUAAUUAAAUGAUAGUGAUAAUUAUAAUGAAUUUUUUUAAUAUAACAUGUAUCUAUAAAUCAAAACUUAAUAUUUUUUUUAAGUUAUUCUAUUUUAGAAAUAUAUAUGUAAGAUAUGAAAUUAUUUCUUAAUUUAUAUGAACUCAUAAUAAAAUUUAUUUAUUUAAAAUUAAAAUAAUUAUAUAUAUAUAUAUGAAUUAAUUGAUUCAAACAAAUGUGAAUUGGUAAAAUACAAUCCGGUCUAAAUGUACAUAAAUUUCAAGGUGUGUCUGAAGUUUACACCGAUUUGCAAGUUUGUGGCCAAACUUUAAAAAUUACAAAAGUGUGGCCGGAGUUCGCAUCCGCCUUUUAAAAUUUUGGUUGCCGUUAAGUCCAUUAGAUUUUAACUGUUAACUCACUUAGAAAUUAAAAAAAUAAGGAGGCAGAUACGUAAAAAAAUAUAAUCCCUCCAUCCCUUUGGGAUGUACAUUUGGAAUGGGCAGACAGACUAAGGAAAAUGUAUAAAGUAGUGUAAAGAAAUGAGAAAGGGAAAGAAAAGUAGGUAAAGAAGUGGGACUCAUGAGUAUUUAAUUGAUAGAUUUGAAAAAGUAGAUGAAAGUAGUGGGUGAAUGUAAUUUUUAUAUUAUAAAAUUUUACUAUUUUGGGAAAAUUUUGAAAUAUAUAGAAAUGAAAAAGGAAUGUGUAUAAAAAUCAGAGGGACGAAGGAAGUAUAGAUAAAAUUGUUUGGGGUAAAGCGGGAAGAAACAGAGGGGGCUAGGGUUCCUUAAUCUUUCCAUCUCCCUUUUAGAAGAUAAGACAUGCUAACUAACUGCCAUGUGAUUAAAAUUGCAACCAGAAGAACUAUGCCCGAAUUACAAGCAAAAUUUCGAUGUAGUGACUCGCCCAAAACAAACUCAACCUACAAACUCAACCUACUGUUACUCAGUUGAAAACAAAAUAGCUAUGCGACUCGACUGUACAUUAACGCAAAAAAGAAAGCCACUACUGGCUAGAAAAGUGAAUCAGUGAACUCAGAAAAAAAAUCACAAUAAACAAACCACUCACCCAAUUUAAAAAGAAGUGUGAACGCGGUGAGGACGAUCAUAGAACCACCGCAUAAAAGGGGUCCCCAU